rnacentral:piRNA from 1 species
AGGUCGUAGGGAGCAGCCCGUUCCAGAUU